rnacentral:lncRNA from 1 species
UGGGUAAAUUCCAGUUUCCAAGCAGAGUGAAUAUACAAGGCUGUUUCUCAGUUACUACAAAAGUUGGCAUCUACCAAAUAAACACAUACGGAAACUGAAGCUGAAACCGAGGUAUUAGCAGUCAAGGUACAGUACAAAAUCGAAUGGUGCAUUAUGUAUAGUACACGGUGCAUUACAACAAACUAGAUGGUAGCUGAAAUAUGAGAUUGCAUUCAGUGUUUCACUCAUGACACUGAAGUUUUCUGGACAGGCAUGUGCGCUCACAGUAUCUGCUGAAGCUGAAUCCUUGUGAAUUCAAUUGUACUGGAUUCCUUCCCAGCAUCUCAAAGGAACCUUUCGGUUUAAACCACCAGAACUUAAUCCCUGCAGAUCGUACAGAUGGAUUUGUUAGCACCACAAAACAAAAUAAUGAUAACAAUUGAAAAGAAAAAGCACACAAGCUGAAGGUUGCUAAGCCUGACAAUCAACAAUUGAAAUACAGCUUCUUCACACCAUCAUUCAGGUGAUUCAUUAAUUUAUUUCUACACAAUUUUAGACACAGGUUAUUUAACACAAUUUUGAUGGAACAAAAAAGCCGGCCACAAUAUAUGAGCAAUGUCCAGCAAAAUAAACAAAUAUACAGGCUGCCCAGAGAACUAAUUGUCAGCAAACUGAAAUAACACCUAUUAUAUAAAUCUAACAAACAAACAACACGCCAAACCCCCUUGCCACCAGCCCCUCGCCGGCGGUCUCUCCGCUUCCGGCGACCACCCCCCUCACCCGCGCUACCUCUAGCGCCCCGGCUUUCCCCUCCCCUGCCUCCGCCAUGCAGCGCUGGCUCGGUGGUUCGGAGAGCCCGCUGUCCACGGAGGGGGUCUCCCAUCUCCUUCGCCACGGCGGCCAGGAUGCUUCUUCGAGGGAAGGGGCCGAUGGAGGCCUCUUCGUCGUCGUCCUCCUCCGGUGGCUCGGCCCUCUGGGGGUUGCUGCCUCUUCCCCCGGGCGGCUUCAUGGCGGACGCGCGGCGCGCCCCGGUAUCCCGCCUGCGUCUCUGGUCGUUCCACCCCCGGCUUCUCCGCCUGCUCCUGAGCCUGGCUGGGAGCCGGCGCGGCGCUGUCGCCGCCAUCCGCGCCGUGCGGGCUGUGAAGCCCCGAAACUGAAUUUAUGCAAUUUAGCCCCAAAUGCUAACUCGCGCAUAAAUCAAGCCCCAGUGCUUCUCUGCGAUGAACACUUCAAAACAUACAAGCAAUGUGUUCACCGUAGGUUGGGACAACAAUGAUAUCAUUAGAUCACUCCUAGAUUUGGCGGUGUUGGACUCCGCUUAAAUGUCGGAUCUGGGUGUGGCUCGCGGCUGCUAAUCGGUGUUGGACGGCGGAUCGCUUGGAGCGCCGACACCUCCCUUUCAACGCGCUCUGUCCGCUCUGCGAUCAGGCCCCGGAGACUCUGCAGCAUCUCCUCUUGGAUUGCCCUUUCUCCAAAUCGGUCCUUCAUGAGGUCUUCUCUAAAGCAGGCACGCUCCGUUGCUUACCCCGCCCUUCGGAGAACCUUCCGGAGUGGCUUUCCAAGGGCGCUCUUAGGCUUCGUGGCAAGGUCAAGGCGGUUCGGUCGCUCAUCAACCUCUCUCUCUCUCUGGCGCAUUUGGCGGCUCCAGAACGAUUGUGUCUUUGAAGGCGCUCGACCGGUGGCUGCGCGUCUUGCCGAGGAUAUCCUUGGGGAGGCUGACCUUUGGAGGGCCGCGGGCGCUCGAGCCCUAGAGCGUCUCCCCCUCCACUCGCGUCCCCCUGACUAGCUUUGUUCUCUUUGCUUGUUGUACGGUAGCUGUAGGCUUUUUCCUUUGCUUUGAGGCCUUAGGUCUCAUCUUGCGCUUUCUUCUUAAUGAAUGGAAAUGGCACACCGCUCGGUGUGUUCGAGAAAAAACAAACAAACACAAAUAAACAAGUAUAUGCUCAAUUUCCACUUAACCCAUUCUUGCACCCAACCAACCAGCAUAAGCUGAAUUUUUAAUUUGCCCCAUUCUUUCUGGAUAUAAGAAUCCAUACCAUGUUCAUUUUUUAGCAGAGUUUGGAACAUAGAAUUAAUUCAUUUGAUAAAUUCACUAUCCAAUUGCCAGAAUACUACUACAAAACAAUGAUAGCUAAAUUUUGAGAAGGAAUAACAUUAAUAGCACCAAGCCAUGGAUCAUCAUCAUCAAAGAGCAGUGUACAAGUACAACAAAGCACCAUUAUUAUCUCGCCAUCAGAAGCAACAAUCACUGCCAGCAGCAUGUCAACAAGAGAAGAGCAACAAGAAAUGAUAGAUAACCUAGCCUCUAUGCAACAGCUCACAGCAAACAAAAUGCAAAUAGAACUUUAUAAGAAAGAAGUAGAUGCCUAGCUCAUAACAAAUAGGAAUGAACUAAAACUGCACUUUCAUCAUGCACAAAAAAUUCAUUACACAAAGUUUGGGGCAUAAAGUUUUGCAAGCACAUCAUAGUCAAGUUUUUCUGAUGUAAUAAUAUCUAAUUGCAAAAUAAGCUACUCUACAGUUACAAAAAAUACUACCAAUAAAAUGAAGCACACCAGGUAAGAUAGUACUAAUAAUAAAGACAUAAUAAAUUAAAGCUCAUACAAAUCAUGGGCAUGACAUUAGUAAGCACACUAGAGGUGGGUUACUUAUCUUCUCUAAAUCUAGUGUGAGCCGGCGACUUUUGAUAAAUACUUAGCUAAUACUUCCUUCUUUCCAUGGGCAUAUGAAUUCAAAAGGUUUGUGAUCAUCGACUAAGAAAUAGUUAUUUCUCGGUCGGCUAAGAAAUACCAAAACCGUAUCUUUUCAACUUACCAGUAUUUAAUUACGCCGUCCCAUCCACAUGUUGCAACCUUGCUAGUCUCCAGUGGAUGCCACUCGCAUCCAAUGCAGGCUCCAUUGUGGCACUUCAAUGUCUUAAAUCUCCUGCAGCUUUUCCAGUCCCAGAACCAGCAACUACCCUCGCCGUCUCCUGACAUCACAAAUCUCCCAUCAGGCGAGAAGCUGACUUGACAAGCAUAACCUGCCACAAUAUGGCCCGCAAACCUCUUCUUCUUAUUAAGCUGAAACCUCUCCUUGGUGCUGUAUAUCAAUAUCUGAUUGUCCAAACUCUGCGCUGCCAGCCAGUUAGAGUUUGGGUGUACUGCAAUAGAUGGCAUGGAGUGCAUGUGCGGCUCACUGAUAUACUUAAUCACCACAGGGAUGCCAAACUCCCACACACGAAGAGACUUGUCAUCACUAGAUGUAACAAACCUCCUAUUAUUAUCUACAAAAGUGAUAGUGUUCACCGCCCCCAAGUGCUGAUCAUACUCCUGUGUGAUCUGUCCUGACUUCAUAUCCCAUUGCACAAUCUUCUUGUCACUCAUCCCAGCAAGGAGAAUAUGCUGCUUAUCUUCAUCCGGAUUGAGCUUCACAACAUAAGGGACCUUCCCAGUGGAGAAGGUUGAGAUAACCUGCCCAGUCUCUGUAUCCCAAUACUGUAUAUUCCUGUCAUACCCAGCACUCAGGAACUUACUCCCAUCACUAGAGAACGAUAUAUCCCUCACUGCCUUGGAGUGUCCCAUGUACGUUCGCAUACAUGUCUUUGACUCGAGCACGUCCCAGAUCUUAAUCUUACAAUCCAUACUUGCAGAAAGCAACAGAUGGCCAUACUUGGGGAAAAAUCUGAUCGCUGAGACCCCCUUUGUGUGCCCAACCCACUCGUGGACACACCUCUUGGGAAUAUAGCAGCGUUCAUUGGUCGCCUUGGCAUCCUUGGGUGGCGUGAUCCACGAGCGUCCCUGGUAGUCCUUCUCCUCCUUCCCAUGGAAAGUGCUCUUGGCCACCACCUCUGUUUUCUCCUUCCCUUCGCCGCGUGCCUCCUUCUCAGCCUUCUUUGCAGCAUGUGCCUCGGCAUACUGCCUCUGCUCGUCCGUGAGCUCAACAGGCGGUCCCUCCCGUCUGCCAGCCCAGGGACUCUGCUUGUUAUGAACGAUCCACUCAUCAAUUGGAAGCAAUGGCGGCAAUGUCGGUGCCAGCGAUGGUAGCAAAAGGAAGGUAGGAGGCGGUGGGGUCGCAGGAAUUGUAAUAUCUCUGGUGGUUCUUGGCGCAAUGCUUGCCUUCUUUGUUAUCAAGUGGAAAUCCAUGCGGCGUCAACAUGGAGAAGAUCUUGAGAAGAAUGUGCCUCUGACCCAUCUUGCUUCGGGAAAAUUUAAGCGUAAGUUACUACUGUUCGUGAAUUGUUCGGUAACAUUAUUUUGGUGUUGUUAGUUUUGUAUUCUCUGAACUUCUCAGGGGUCUCAGAGCUGAGGCCCAUGAACACUGUAUCACCAGCUGGAAAGGAAGGGUUGCAGAGGACUGUCUCGAUGAACUUGAAACCGCCAUCGAAAAUUGGCUUCCACAAGUCCUCUGACGAAAAUGAUCACCUCAACAAGUCCGCUGAGACGAACAAAACAAACAUGUCUUCCAUCAGAGCAACUGCAUACACAGUGGCAGACCUGCAGAUGGCUACUGAGAGCUUCAGUACCAACAACCUGAUCGGUGAAGGCACUUUCGGCAGGGUUUAUAGAGGACAGUUGUCCAAUCAGAAGGUAUGUAACUUUGUGCUUAAGGCAAUAACACAACUUCUGUAACUUCAUUAUUGUAAACGUUUAAUAUUUGAUUGAAUCUACCAAAUUGAAUGACAUUGUUCUUUAAUUUCAAACAGAAAAUUUAAUUUCUGUACAGUAUCCAAAUGUGUCGUCAAUCCCUAAUGUAGCAUAAUUUUUUUUGCGAGUAAUAGCAUAAUAACUUAACAUGCUCCACAUGUUUUGCUGAACUGAACUUAGGUUCAGAUGAACAAAUGUUUUCCUGACCCUCCUAGGUUCAGCCGGAUGAAAGGAUCCUACCAUACACAUAUAUUUUUGACUAGGGCAUGAACUUACUCAUUAAUAAAUUGAGUAACAUGUUUUCAAUGUGAUAAAACCAAAACUCAUCAAAUUUGCACGAAACUUGCUCCGGUUGCUAACUGUAACAUUGCUUUUCCCGUUCCUACUAAAAUACGUCUACGUACAUGUAAUAUUUCCGCACUUCGGGCCUGUUCGGUUAGAGGUUUGGACAAAAUGUCUGAAAAAAGUUGAUGCCUGGUCUGGCAGGUACUGACGCUAGAUGCGGCUGAGCUCAGGCGACCAAAAUCGGUGGCGUGACUCAGGCUUUUGCUGCCUGGCCGGACGCCAACCAAAGAAAUUAAUUUACACCUCCGGCAUGCAGCCAGGAUGCAAUCCAAACAAUGCCCUUAAUAUGGGACCGAGGGAGUACUUCUAAUGUCCUUUCUCUAAAAGAUAUAUUCAUUUUGGACUUGUUCGUUGAAGGAAGCAAUUCUAAUUGUCACAAAAAUGUACUUCCGAAGUUCCUUUUCAAUGUGAUGUUGUCUUGACUAUUUUUUGGCCAUGACCAAAAUUUGGUCUUUGUUUCGAUGGGUGCCAACGUUUUAGCAACUCCAGUUCAUUUUUUUGACCAAAGUUGCCCAACUUGUGGGUAAGCAAAAGCAUGACGAAUUAUUUGGCUGGCCUUUGGUAGGACUGCUUUUUCAGGGUAAGAAGGGGGUAGAGAAAAUGCCUCGACUCGAGGUCUAAGUACCAAGAGCUGCAACACUGAAGUAUGAGCCCCGUGGACUAGCGAUUGCUUCUCCACGAGGCUCAUACCAGACGCUACGGCACUGAAGUAUGUAACCGAUGCCAUACUUCCAGUAAAAGCUCAAACGACCUUUAACAAAAAAGUACCUGUACCCAAAACCGACACAGGUGGGUAGGUAGAGAAUACCUAGGGACACGAGACAACUCUCAAGGAACUGGCAAAAUAGCCCCGUAACUUCGGGGGCUCAAUCAAAACGAGUACCCAAACACAUUUACUAGGCCAAACACUUUAGACUACUAGCGCGGUCCCUGAGGCGGUAUGAACAAGCUACACAUCAAAUUACAGCGCCACAGGAUCAAGAAAAGUACAGACAGAACAGUUACCGUUCGAAUUCAUAUGGUGCACUUCAAACAGAAAUCUGGCUAAAUUCCAGUUUCCAAGCAGAGUGAAUAUACAAGGCUGUUUCUCAGUUACUACAAAAGUUGGCAUCUACCAAAUAAACACAUACGGAAACUGAAGCUGAAACCGAGGUAUUAGCAGUCAAGGUACAGUACAAAAUUGAAUGGUGCAUUAUGUAUAGUACACGGUGCAUUACAACAAACUAGAUGGUAGCUGAAAUAUGAGAUUGCAUUCAGUGUUUCACUCAUGACACUGAAGUUUUCUGGAC